rnacentral:rRNA from 1 species
GUCUAUGGCCAUACCACCCUGAACGUGCCCAGUCCCAUCUGAUCUUAGAAGCUAGGUAGGGUCAGUCCUCAUUAGUACUUGCAUGGAAGGAAGAGAGGGGAAACAAGUA